UCUCCAUGCUCUCGCUCGCUAGCAGCCGCACAGAAGAGAAGCGGCUGAGGCGAGGAAGGAAGGAGUCUAUCACAUCAUCUCUCUGUCCACAGGCUUUCCUUGGGGCUUAUGAAGAUUUCUUCGCACUAGCCCCUCUUCACCCGUCGGGACCGGAAGGAUGUGUGGAUUGAUGGCUUAAGAACAAAAUGAACUGGAAUUUUUUGAGUCCUUUGAGGCCUGCUCGGAUAUUUCCAUCCCUUCCUCCCAAGUCACCACCUCCUUCAGUGGAAUAGAAGAUCGAACCUAGAAAUUGUACUCUCCUCAAGAUCCGCUUGAGAGAAUCUGACUGAUGGCUUUGGUCUGAGAGUUCAGACAUCUCUUGUGAUACUAAGAAAGAUUCCUUUUCCAUUUGCUGGAUCCUCCUGUUUUGUCAUCCCUGAGUCCUGUAAGAAGCUCAUCAGGAGGUCCCCUGCGCUGGAAGGACCAUGUGAGUUCAUCCCAGACGAUGGGUGGCACCAUGGUUUUAGCAGCUCACACAAUGGAGAACCACAUUCUCUCUGGAAGAGCUUGGCAACAUGUAUUUGGUAAACACAGCAAGGUCAGCUUGAGCUCUAUUCUUCUGUGGCCGUUCUGAACACGAGAGAGAGAGAGAG
rnacentral:lncRNA from 1 species